CACACAGCUCGUACACCGGGCUUACACAUGAUUUUUGCUAAAUGGUUGGGCAAACCCUCAAUUCUAUCUAAAUAUAUAGCUUUGUAACCUAUCGGACUUACGCGAAAAAAAUGGCUUACUACGC